UCAGCUCUUUCUCCUAUUGUUAAACUAUUAUUAUUGUUAUGAAGUACAUGAUUUUAAUUCGCUAAAUUCGAUCCACACCGUCAAGUUUUUAUGCGUUUGCAACUCAAAAACAUGGUAUUUCGCUACAAACUCAAAUUGGUUCCGAUCAACUGGUUAUUUUUUAUGUUUAAGAAAACAUUUCAUUUUACAUUUCUUUCAACUUUCCUUUACCUACUAAAACUUCAACUUAAACAAGCUUAUGAUUUAUCAAGUUUCUUGAUUUUAAAAAAAUGACCCCUAAGUGACUUGAACACUUGACUUUGAGAUUUGGAAUCUCACACUCUACCAACUGAGUUAAGGGGCCAUGUAUAUUCUCUAAGCAAA